UACGUAGGGGGCGAGCGUUGUUCGGAAUUACUGGGCGUAAAGGGCUCGUAGGCGGCCAACUAAGUCAGACGUGAAAUCCCUCGGCUUAACCGGGGAACUGCGUCUGAUACUGGAUGGCUUGAGGUUGGGAGAGGGAUGCGGAAUUCCAGGUGUAGCGGUGAAAUGCGUAGAUAUCUGGAGGAACACCGGUGGCGAAGGCGGCAUCCUGGACCAAUUCUGACGCUGAGGAGCGAAAGCCAGGGGGGCAAACGGG
rnacentral:rRNA from 1 species